rnacentral:rRNA from 1 species
UACGAAGGGGGCUAGCGUUGUUCGGAAUUACUGGGCGUAAAGCGCACGUAGGCGGACUAUUAAGUCAGGGGUGAAAUCCCGGGGCUCAACCCCGGAACUGCCUUUGAUACUGCAAAUCUCGAGUCCGGAAGAGGUGAGUGGAAUUCCUAGUGUAGAGGUGAAAAUUCGUAGAUAUUAGGAAGAACACCAGUGGCGAAGGCGGCUCACUGGUCCGGUACUGACGCUGAGGUGCGAAAGCGUGGGGAGCAAACAGGG